CCCAGCAGAAACGGCGUUUCCAACAACCUUCCAGCCGGAAACCUGCACAGCCAAUGCAAAUACGCCCCACCAAGGCUUCUUCCCCGAAAAGCCGCCUUCCACAAUCUUUUCUGCGACAAGCAUUUAGCGAGAACAUGAAAGUUUGUUGUUGUUUUUAAGGUCAGAAGCAAAAGAACCCCGAAGGAGUCCGCGUAGCUAGAGAAGCGCCAUGCAAGUGGGGCGUGUAGUCGCCCCCCACCUCCCGGACGAGCUCACAGACGCGCGCUGCUGCACGGAAGAGCUUCCGAGGAGGAAUCCGGCCGCGCAGAGCUGUUCCCGCCCUCCCAGUGGAGGCGCGGGCAGGAACCAAAACGGCCUCGGCGGCGGCCACAGCAACCACUCAGUCCUCCAGCAACGCUCGCUCCACGUGGAAGAAGCGCCCCACACAGCGCCUCCUCCUACCUGCCGCGUUCGCUGACCUGGCCGAGGCUAGGGAAACCUGGAGAGCUGAGGGGCGGGCGCACGCGAGAAGCAAACUCGAAUUUCCCAGAGUGAAAGAUACUCAGGAAAGGCGCGGCGGACGCGGCCUCAGAACAGAAAAGUGAGACUGAGAGCUCUCGGAGCUCUUCGAGGGAGCCCACAGCUGAGGCUCCAAUUUGGAGGGAAAUUUUUUUAACUCAACACUUGGAUUCGACAUUGUAGACUUUUUUUUUUUUUUUUACCCUGCAACUCUGUCCCUGUUGGUAAGGGAUCGUGGUUGCCUUACUGCUGAACAGUAACAACUGGGGAGAAGUGUUUUGGUGCUGGUGGAGCGAACUCACGCCCCUAGCCAGCCUUCUCAGAGACUCGUGCCAAGAGUACUUCACCAGCACCGCCCCUUUAAGAGAUUUCAACUGCAGACAUUUUUUAACUUUUUAAAGCGUCAAGGAAUGUCGUCUGCUCCAGGCCCUUCCCUUUGGGUUGAAGCAGCGAGAGCAAGGCUGGUUAAGUUGCAGAGGGGUCCUGCGGUGGCGACUGUGAUUCCUGCCAAAGCACCGAGGGCAGACGGAGACUCCAUGGACCCAAGUAUGGACCUCUGCGACGCGCUGGGCAGCAACACAGAAGCCGCCCUCUGACCUGACAGGGCCCAGAAGGAAUACACAGAAUGACCAGGUCAAAGGGUUUAUCCGCCCGUAGGGGAAAAGGGCCCAGGCUGCGCGUGGCUCCGUUCUGCCUGCAGCUGAGGCGAAAGUGUCUUGGGGGUUCAAUACACGCUGACUUAGGCCAAGUCAAAGCAACCCUGUCUG